rnacentral:rRNA from 1 species
GACAACGCUGGCGGCGUGCCUAACACAUGCAAGUCGAGCGAAGUAUAUCUAAGGGAAAAUUUUCGGAUGGAACUUAGAUAUAUCUUAGCGGCGGACGGGUGAGUAACGCGUGAGCAACCUGCCUUUCACAAAGGGAUAGCCUCGGGAAACUGGGAUUAAUACCAUAUAAAACUUGUCUUUCGCAUGAAAGAAAAGUCAAAGCGAAUAAGCGGUGAAAGAUGGGCUCGCGUCCUAUUAGCUAGUUGGUGAGGUAACGGCUCACCAAGGCGACGAUAGGUAGCCGGCCUGAGAGGGUGAACGGCCACACUGGAACUGAGACACGGUCCAGACUCCUACGGGAGGCAGCAGUGGGGGAUAUUGCACAAUGGAGGAAACUCUGAUGCAGCGACGCCGCGUGAGUGAAGAAGGCCUUCGGGUCGUAAAGCUCUGUCCUAGGGGAAGAUAAUGACGGUACCCUAGGAGGAAGCCCCGGCUAACUACGUG